CACACACACACAGAGCUACAUGGAGGCUGGGUUUAUCUCGAGCCUCAGGUGUACCCCCAGCCACCCCUGCCAUCCAGGUGGAGGAAAGGACAGCAUGGGCUGCAAGCUCUCAGGUCACCAGGAAGUCAGGCUCCCAACUGUAGCAGUGGGGAUCGGAAGGCACCCCUAGGGAGGGGAAUUGGACAUACAGCUCCACAGGGAGCCUGCCUCUAAGUCCUUCUCCGUCAGCAUCAGCAGGAGAGCAGCAGGGGUGAGCCUACGACAGAAGACACAGAGGUGCAAGAUACAGGGAGAGACACGUGGAGACAGGAGAGACACAUGGAGCCUCAGAGACGUGGAAAGAUGACAAGGCACAGAGACAGAGAAGAGAGUCAGAGACCAAGCGAGACCAUUAAGAUGGAGAUUCAGAGACAGCCAAACAGAAAUGGGCAGAGAUGGACAUGCCGGUGCAGGGCUUGGCCAGGGAUGGGGCCCAUGGAAAGGAGCAGCAGCUAGCCCAUGGGACAAUGGGAGGUGGAAGGCAACUUUAUGGAAGAGAGACGAUUAUUGUCCCCGUUUCCCAGAUGAGGUAACUGAGGUCUCAUCAUGUGCUCAGCCCACAGCCAUCCCACCCCCUGCCUGCACCUUCUCCAGACAGAGGGGCUGACCUACCAUUUCCACAAGCAGAGCACAAGGGCCCAAGUUGGAAGAGGUGGCUCAAGACCACACCUGCCCAGCAACAGCCCCCGAGCCAGCCCCCCAAACCGGAGAGCAAGAAGCCAGCGGUGGUGCUUCGUGACACAAACAUGCAUUCGUUUUAUUCACAAAA